rnacentral:rRNA from 1 species
UGGGGAAUAUUGGACAAUGGGCGAAAGCCUGAUCCAGCCAUGCCGCGUGUGUGAAGAAGGUCUUCGGAUUGUAAAGCACUUUAAGUUGGGAGGAAGGGCAGUUACCUAAUACGUGAUUGUUUUGACGUUACCGACAGAAUAAGCACCGGCUAACUCUGUGCCAGCAGCCGCGGUAAUACAGAGGGUGCAAGCGUUAAUCGGAAUUACUGGGCGUAAAGCGCGCGUAGGUGGUUAGUUAAGUUGGAUGUGAAAUCCCCGGGCUCAACCUGGGAACUGCAUUCAAAACUGACUGACUAGAGUAUGGUAGAGGGUGGUGGAAUUUCCUGUGUAGCGGUGAAAUGCGUAGAUAUAGGAAGGAACACCAGUGGCGAAGGCGACCACCUGGACUGAUACUGACACUGGG